rnacentral:rRNA from 1 species
GGGUGCGAUCAUACCAGCACUAAUGCACCGGAUCCCAUCAGAACUCAGUAGUUAAGCGUGCUUGGGCGAGUGUAGUACUAGGAUGGGUGACCUCCUGGGAAGUCCUCGUGUUGCCCCCC